GAAUAUUGCGCAAUGGAGGAAACUCUGACGCAGCCACGCCGCGUGGAGGAUGACACCCCUAUGGGGCGUAAACUCCUUUUAUGUGAGAAGAAGGCCCUGUUAUGCAGGGUUUGACGGUAUCACAUGAAUAAGCACCGGCUAACUCCAUGCCAGCAGCCGCGGUAAUACGGAGGGUGCAAGCGUUGUCCGGAAUCACUGGGUGUAAAGGGUGUGUAGGCGGAGCUGUAAGUCAGAGGUGAAAUCCUGCGGCUCAACCGUAGAACUGCCUUUGAUACUGCAGCCCUUGAGUCUCGGAGAGGUUGCUGGAAUUCGUGGUGUAGCGGUGAAAUGCGUAGAUAUCACGAGGAACACCAGAGGCGUAGGCGGGCAACUGGACGAGAACUGACGCUGAGGCACGAAAGCGUGGGGAGCAAACAGG
rnacentral:rRNA from 1 species